UACGGAGGAUCCAAGCGUUAUCCGGAUUCAUUGGGUUUAAAGGGUGCGUAGGCGGACUAAUAAGUCAGUGGUGAAAUCCUGCAGCUUAACUGCAGAACUGCCAUUGAUACUGCUAGUCUAGAGUACAUUUGAUGUGGGCGGAAUGUGUCGUGUAGCGGUGAAAUGCUUAGAUAUGACACAGAACACCGAUUGCGAAGGCAGCUCACAAAACUGUAACUGACGCUGAGGCACGAAAGUGUGGGGAUCGAACAGGAUUAGAAACCCCCGUAGUCC
rnacentral:rRNA from 1 species